UUUAUUACAUUGUUAUAGUAACUAAAUGAUAAGUAUUUUCAACAACGUAGUAAAUAUGCCUAACAAAAAAACGUUUUACAAAAUCUCAUUUGUAGUAUCAGAAAAUCAAAAUUUACAUUAAGCAUACACAUUGAUACAUAUUAGAGUUCUUCGGUAGCUGUUACAAUUAAUAAAACGAGUUGGUUAAAUACAAAUCUCAUAUUUUUUUCAGUAUACAACUUCAGAAUCUUCAACUAUUAGUAACAUUUUAUAAGUAAUAUUACUAUUGACAUUUUAAAUAUUACAGUACCAAAAUACGAUAAAGUGGAAGUGAUAAGAACUUGGGGAUGUAUGUCUACAGAAGCACGUUUGAUAUAUAUGAAUAUAAGAUAAAAGGACAAUAAAAGUGUGCUGCUAAUAAUGAAUACAAUUCAUCAGAAUUAUUUCAGGAGCAUUUAAAUUUGAAUACAAAUAUCUGAAUCUUGUGCAUAAUUUGAAUAAACCUAAUGAUUGGAUAGAGGCAAAACAAUUUGGGAAAUUAAGACAACCAUCGCCUGCAUUAAUAAAUUUAUAAAAAAUCAUAGAAACUAUUCUUAAAAAAUAAUUGGAAAUGGUACUUAUAGAAAUAUAGUUAAUGUAUCACAAAGUUACUUGUGUCAUUGUACAGUCUAUAAGUGAACUAGACGUUGAUGAUCCUAUAACGGAAAAUUAUGGACCAAUAUUUGCAUUCCACACUAAAGAUGAACGACAGAAUACACUUAAAAAACGGAGAUACAAAUUAAACAAAAAUUGAUAUAUUUUAUACGAAAUUAAAUUUUCAUAUUUAAUACUAAAACAUCUACAUGUAUUUAUGUAUAUCUAAUACGUUUUCUUUAAGUUAUACUUAUUUAAUUAUGAAAAAAAUUGAUAUCUUUAUAAAGUAAUUACUAUUU